rnacentral:rRNA from 1 species
AAUGAACGUUGGCGGCGUGGAUUAGGCAUGCAAGUCGAGCGAGAACCCCGCAAGGGGGGACAGCGGCAAACGGAGUAGUAAUGUGUCGGAACGUGCCCAGAGGACGGGGAUAGCGGCGGGAAACUGCCGGUAAUACCCGAUGAUCUCGAGAGAGCAAAGGUGUGAUUCCGCCUUUGGAGCGGCCGACAUGGUAUUAGCUAGUUGGCGGGGUAACGGCCCACCAAGGCUGUGAUGCCUAGGGGAUGUGAGAGCAUGAUCCCCACCAUUGGGACUGAGACGCUGCCCAGACCCCUACGGGUGGCUGCAGUCGAGAAUCUUCGUCAAUGGGCGAAAGCCUGAACGAGCGACGCCGCGUGCGGGAUGAAGGCCUUUGGGUUGUAAACCGCUGUCGAGGGGGAUGAAGGCAUUCAGGUCCUCCUGAAUGUUUGACAGAGCCCUGGAGGAAGCACGGGCUAAGUUCGUGCCAGCAGCCGCCGUAAAAC